ACAUGAUCACUAAUGCAGAAUUCAACUACUGUUGGCCAGGGAGGUAAAAUUGAACCUGUAAACACAAAGAAAAACCGAUUCAAACAAGAACAGAGUUGUUGACAUUACAUUUUUCGGCAUUUGAUAUUGUCAAGUCAAUCAUCCCAUCUUAAUCUUGAAAAAUAUGCAUAUUUUUCCUUAUACAGAUCAGAUAUAAAUCAAAGAUAGAUGUAAAGAACAGCAUUAAUCAAAAGAUUUCCAUCACCUGAUGACUGGCUUUCUCUGUGCUGCAGCUGUAGCAUGUGCAGCCCUCGGCAGGGGCACAACAAGUUCAGGGGCCUUUAUUAUACAAAGUUGAAAAAAGUUAAGUACUGCGAGUUAUAACAAACCUAGAAAGAUUCGCGUUAUGAUAUUAUUAACACGUAAAAACGCUCAAAAGAGAACAAAUAAAUAACUAGGUACCAAAGGAACUACUUCUUGGCCCCUAAAGAUCAUGUUUCAAAGAUUGACUGAGAUCUGAGACAAUUACGUCUCGUCCGCUCAAAGAUUAAAAGCAAAAAAAAAAAAUAGUUCCUUUGGUUCCACCACCAACUAUUUAAUAGUUUUCAUUUGAACCCAAUGUCUAGAAACAUAUCUACAUAACAAAAUGUUAAAAAUAUGGUACGACGUUACACCUAGAACUUCCAUAAUCACAACAGAAAGAAAGCAUCACGACGUGCUAUUUUGCACACAAUAAUAACAUGUUUGUUAAUCAAUCAAAUUAAUAGAAGGGUGCAUGUGUGUUAAAAAUGUGACCAGUGAAACAACAAAGAGAUCCAGAAGAUUAACACCAAAUCUCGUAGUGAAGUAAACAGAAGAAAUUAACUAAAAACGAACCUCAAGUUCUUCUAAGCUCUCAUUCACAGAAGUUCCACCUAAAUUCUUAUCUUGAAAACUAUCAAGUUCUUCAAGUUGCUGAGGGGAACUCUGAUAGGAUUCACACAGACCAGAAUCAGUGGCCAGCUUCUCGGUUUCUCCAGAAACUAAUUGACCAUUGAUGAUAUCGUCAUUGUUUUCAGUUUUAACCCCUGCUUGAUCAUUGACAUUAGUACCCUCAGUAGGCAAACCUACAUCAGUGGAUAAGCGCUUGGGAGCGGGCAACUCUUGGUAAUCCUCCUGUUGGCGUUUCCUUGUAUCAUCAUCAUCAGGUCCAGGUCCAGGUCCAGGUGCAGGUCUGUCAACAACAUUAAUAUCUGCAUCCAGACUGCUCGCAGCACUUGUGUCUGGGACAUUCCGCCUUUCCUCUACACUGGCUCUGGCAGGGCGUGCAGGUCGAACACCACCAGGAAAAACAAAAGCGGGAAUGUCCCUACGCCUGAUAUGAGUUACGCUUAUGCCCAUUCCGGGUUUCCAUGCUGUAUAUGAACCAACGUUACCUUUAAACUCAUCGACUGUCGACCGUAUAUCAAAUUUCUUGGCAUCAUUCACAGAAACACCCUCUUUUCGUUGAAGACCUAAGAAGUAACUGCAGUGAAAUGGGUUUGACUUGUCUGGAAAGUCACCUGGAUGUGGGUGGCACAGCAGCAAUUUAAAUGUGAUAAGCUGGGGUAA
rnacentral:lncRNA from 1 species